rnacentral:rRNA from 1 species
CGAACGCUGAAGCCUGGCUUUUGUUGGGUGGAUGAGUGGCGAACGGGUGAGUAACACGUGAGUAACCUGCCCUCUUCUUUGGGAUAACGCCCGGAAACGGGUGCUAAUACUGGAUAUUCACUGGCCUUCGCAUGGGGGUUGGUGGAAAGGUUUGUCCUGGUGGGGGAUGGGCUCGCGGCCUAUCAGCUUGUUGGUGGGGUGAUGGCCUACCAAGGCUUUGACGGGUAGCCGGCCUGAGAGGGUGACCGGUCACAUUGGGACUGAGAUACGGCCCAGACUCCUACGGGAGGCAGCAGUGGGGAAUAUUGCACAAUGGGCGAAAGCCUGGUGCAGCGACGCCGCGUGAGGGAUGGAGGCCUUCGGGUUGUAAACCUCUUUCGCUCAUGGUCAAGCCGCAACUGUGGGUUGUGGUGAGGGUAGUGGGUAAAGAAGCGCCGGCUAACUACGUGCCAGCAGCCGCGGUAAUACGUAGGGCGCGAGCGUUGUCCGGAAUUAUUGGGCGUAAAGGGCUUGUAGGCGGUUGGUCGCGUCUGCCGUGAAAUCCUCUGGCUUAACUGGGGGCGUGCGGUGGGUACGGGCUGACUUGAGUGCGGUAGGGGAGACUGGAACUCCUGGUGUAGCGGUGGAAUGCGCAGAUAUCAGGAAGAACACCGGUGGCGAAGGCGGGUCUCUGGGCCGUUACU